UGGAACAUGCCAGACGCACAAUGGGUGAGUUUUACUAGACACAAGAAAGCUUCAUGCCUCAGUCGACGUGAUUAAGGAGCUAGACAGACAGAUGGCAAGGUUAAUUAGAAGCAUGCAUCAGAAGAAAAAGUCCAAAGCUAAAAGGCGAUGCACAUUGCAUCAAGAUCAUAGUGUAAAAUCAAGACUGCAAUUUUUUGCCUACCUAGAUAGACAGUAGUUUUCAUGGAGAAAAACUACAAGGCAAGAGGAGUUCUCUGAUGUUUAGUUAAUCUCCCAGGCAUUUUCACUUACCCAACAAGAAUUUCAAGCAUCAAUGAAUAGGUGUGGCAUGUAAUGCCAAUUCUUAGCAAAUUC
rnacentral:lncRNA from 1 species